CGAAAUCUAUUUAGGUAGAGCGUCACGAUUAGACUCUGGGGGGUAGAGCACUGAAUGGGCUAGGGGUCCUCACCGGAUUACCAAACCUUCUCAAACUCCGAAUACCCAGAAGUUAUGCGUGGCAGACACACGGCGGGUGCUAACGUCCGUCGUGAAAAGGGAAACAACCCAGACCGCCAAUUAAGGCCCCUAAGUAAUAGCUAAGUGCGAAACGAUGUGGAGGUGCUGAGACAAUCAGGAGGUUGGCUUAGAAGCAGCCAUCCUUUAAAGAAAGCGUAACAGCUCACUGGUCUAAAUAAGGGUUUCUGCGCCGAAAAUGUAACGGGGCUAAAGCCGUGCACCGAAGCUAUGGGUGCAUCAUCUCUUCGGAGUUGGUGUGCGGUAGCGGAGCGUUCCGU
rnacentral:rRNA from 9 species